GAAUAUUGGCCAAUGGGGGGAACCCUGAUCCAGCCAUGCCGCGUGUGUGAAGAAGGCCUUUUGGUUGUAAAGCACUUUAAGCGAGGAGGAGGCUACUCUAGUUAACACCUAGAGAUAGGGGACGUUACUCGCAGAAUAAGCACCGGCCAACUCUGGGCCCGCAGCCGCGGGAAUACAGAGGGUGCAAGCGUUAAUCGGAUUUACUGGGCGUAAGGCGCGCGUAGGUGGCCAAUUAAUUCAAAUGUGAAAUCCCCGAGCUUAACUUGGGAAUUGCAUUCGAUGCUGGUUGGCUAGAGUAUGGGAGAGGAUGGUAGAAUUCCAGGUGUAGCGGUGAAAUGCGUAGAGAUCUGGAGGAAUACCGAUGGCGAAGGCAGCCAUCUGGCCUAAUACUGACACUGAGGUGCGAAAGCAUGGGGAGCAAACA
rnacentral:rRNA from 1 species